AAGCAUCAAAACUCAUUCUCUCUUCUCCAGUCUCUCCUAGUUCACUCUCAUCUUCUCAGUGUCCUGAAUUGCUCUAUGUCUCCAUGUCCUCUCACACCGACCUGUUAAGACACCUGAGCGUUCAGAAUGUGCGUAGCGUCUUUGGACAAGGACUAGCUGUCUGGUCCAGCCUGGAGGAAGAGGAUGAGGGGGAGGGGGGUCGAGUAAAACAUAGAGAGCCACCAGGCAGAUGUUUGGAAUAUGUGGUGCCCAAUGGCAUCAUAGAAGAAGGCAGGGCAAUGAUGGAGGAAGGGCACAGAUAUCUAGAGCCUAUUUAAAGGGCUUGCAGACACUGAGACUGGCCAUUAGAUGUGUUUCUAAAGGCAACCAGCUCUUCCACACAUCUGUCUGUCUGUUUGGUCGCCUGUUCUUCUCUGUGUGUCCGUCUGUCUGUCUCGUCUGCUGCCAUGUUGGGACAGAGACUCCUGCAGACUUCAGUGGUGCUGUGGCUGGCACAGGUCACUUUACAAGGAGGUGUCAGACCCCAAACUGGAGCUCUAGGGAGAUUGGUGCCAAGUCGAGGUGCUAGUCUUGGUGCUGUUGGUCUGGGUGCCAAGCCAGGAGUAGGUGCUGGUAUUCUCGGAAGCCGUGGCUAUGGAGGCAAAGCUGCAAAGGCAGGCACUGGCCGUUACCUUGGAGCGGGAGGAUACAGGCCGUUACAAAGUAGAGGAGGAAUGAAGCAAGGCUACGGAGGAGCUCUCGGAGGUUAUGGUGCUGCUCUUGGAGCAGGACUUGGGAACGGUCUGGGAAUGGCUCUGGGAGCUCAGGCAGGAAAACUUGGACGAGGAUACACUAAUGGCUAUGGACUCCAGCCAGGUUACGGCGCUGGUGUAUACCCUGGCGUUGGACGCGGCAGUGGGCUUGGAGGAGGACUACCCAUUUCACAGGGGGGGAAAGGCAAUGGAUAUGGUCAAACUCCAGGAGUACCAAAUGGACAAGGUGCUCCAGUCAACGGUUACGCCCCCUCACCUCUGGGUCCCACUGCACAGGGAGGGUAUGGCUCUGGAGCUGGAGUAAUGAAUGGAAAGGGAGCUAAAGCUAAUGGCUACGGCCCGGCCGCAGGAGUGUCUAAUGGAGCCGGAGGAAUGAGCAACGGCUAUGGACCUGGGCCAGCAGGAGUAAACGGACAAGGUGGUAAAGGAGGAGCCAUGUUCCGUGGAAAUGGUGGCAAACCGUCCAAGACUGGAUAUAAUCUUGGAUUGGGCAGCUAUCCCGGAGCAGGACUAACUAAUGGAUAUGGAGCAGGCUAUGGCAAUGUGUAUGGCUUUAAUGGAUAUGAUGGUGGCUAUGGAGCUGGUCUGGGAGCUGGAGGCUUUGCAUCUCCAACACUGGGACUCAGCGCUGGCCUGGGAACUGGUCUCGGCACAGACGCCAAGUCUGCUAAGUAUGGUGGCGCCACUCCUGGUUCUGUGCUCGGUGCUGCUGGAGGUCAGCCAGUUGUGUCUGCGGGACUCGGCCCUCAAGGCAAAACAGGUGGCUAUGGAGGCGCUCCUUACGUGGGACAGACAGCAGGCCUGGUACCUGACGCUUCUCUGGGUGGAACUGGUGGAGUCCUGGAACCUGUGACUGGUGGAGGUGUGGGUCAGUAUCCUUACAAUGGAGCAGGAGUUGUCCCAGCCGGACUGGAAGGUGAAAAUGGAUAUGGAUACGGACCUCAGCAGCUCAGUAUGGGAACUGAUGGAGGCAAAUUAGCAUAUGGGGAGGGAGGAGCCUAUGCAGCACAGCCAGCAGGCUAUGGUGCAGCCAUGGGGGCCGGAGGUCAGGGUCCUUACGGAGGAGGAAAGGACGAGAGCAAGUACAACCUGGGUGGUCUCUACGGAAACAGAAUCAAAGGCUGAUGUCUCAUGUGACUUGAGCGUGAAUUUGGCUUCGUCCCCAUCCGUGUGUCCCCACAUCCUCCAUCACUGUUUAGUUUAAUGUGCCAGUGUGUGUCAUCCGCCUGCUGUGUUUUAGCUGUAAUUUAGUCCUUGUCAUCCUUGUCCUUGUUUGUUCAUGUGUGUAUGUGUGUGUGUGACUAUGUGUUUGUAUGUUUGUGUGUGUGUGAGAGUGUGUGUGUUCUUAUUGUAAUGAUGGUCCUAGAUUGUGUCGUUUGUGUUUCCUCCCUCCUUCUUCGCUGUUUUUGGGAGCGUGUCCGACUCCUGUUGUUGGUCCCUGUAUCCAACUAAAACCUUUUGCGCACUACUUUUGGUUGUUACUGUAAUUCUUAUCAAGACUAAACAUGUCCCCUCACUUCUGUGACUAAUUGUGUUGUUUCCACAAACAUGUGAAGAUUGACAAAAGUGAUAUAUAUGAACAUAUUGACAACUUGUAAAUGGAUAUAGAGAA
rnacentral:lncRNA from 1 species